GCCCAACCACCAGCCCCGUCCCUCCUAUUGCAAAUGAAGUGUUCCUAGUCACCUUUGGAGAGGUUUCUAUCAGCAUUUUAGAUAGAAUUUCUCUUUAAAGCUCUAUGUCCUGGUUUUGUUAGUAAUGCAUGAAAAUGUCAAGGAUUCAUGGAAUUUUUAUCCUUGGUUACUUUUUGGAAUGUAAUUGUAUCCGUUACCUUUGAAUCCAUUGGCUCAGGUUCUCUAAGUAAAUCAUCCACUGCAAACUCCUUGAGGUAGGGACUGGUUUUUUUUUUUUCUCUCAUCAGUAACCUCAUCACUUAGCACAGAGCCUAGUAUACAGUAGGUAUACCCUGCUUAGUCUUUAGAAUUCUAGCAACCAGGAAUGCAUACACCCCCGCUUAAGGAUUAACUGUGAGAAGCAUGGCCUAUGACUGGCAUUUGCUAGCAAGUGACAAAUCAGGAACAACUGACUGACCCCCUGGGCUGUCCAAAGCCAAGAUUAAGGCACCAUUAGUACAUGUGAGACACAGGAAGUGACAUAAAGAAAGGCCUUUAUAUUUUGUGUCACUUCCUGUGAGAGGGGCUUUUGUGGACUUUGGUGGUGGAACGUGGCUUGAUGGAGCUCUAGCAUGGGACCUCCAUCUUCUUCCCUGAACAACCAUGUGAACAUGAACCCCUCCAUUCAGCUUUAAUUGCAUGGAGAUUUAAUUUGGCCUUGCUGCUUUGAAGUCCAUAUCAAGCACUGAAAAAAAGGGCUAUUGUGACUGUUGGCAAGGUCUCAGGAAAAAAAAAAAAAUCCGGUGGCUCCUGCGCUGACGAAUUUCUGAACUUCCACCUCCAGAAGACAGUUGACAGACUGACAUUUUGUAUUGCUGAAUCUGUUAAGCUAUCCAGAUUUAAAUACAGCAGUAAGCCGGAGGAGCAACAUGACAAUGGUGGUCCACACUGCUUAUAUGAUUUGCACUUUUGGCGGUGGAGAGAUGGCUGGUGGCAGCUUGCUGAGCAUGCUAAGUGUUCCAGCAUCUUGGUGUGGUGGAAGCUAUUGUCUGGUUUGACAGUGAGUUUUCCUUGAUACUUUACUGGGAGAAGUUGAAUAGCCUAGUUCAGGUGAGACAUCUUAACUGAGCUCUCUUUGAGUUUAGGCUGAUUCUUUCUCCUUUACCUUCCAAACACUAUCCUCUUAGAAAGCCACUAAUUUUCAGAGACCUUAUGGCAGAGGACUUUGAACUCCCCCUGGCACAGGCCAUGCAGGAGAACUCCUAUACCCUUUCCCUUUCUCUUCUCCUUGAUCUUUUCUCUCUAUAUUGAUUAAACCACCAU
rnacentral:lncRNA from 1 species